CAGUCGUACCUGCGGGUAAUCAGCCUUUUGGGCAUGAUUCUGUGGAGCGUGAGGAGUUAAACGCCUUCAUGCCCUGCAUAUUCGUGUUACGUUUGGGUGUACUUGCCUGUGUGGUUAGUUAACAUCUAA
rnacentral:rRNA from 1 species